rnacentral:rRNA from 1 species
CCUACGGGUGGCAGCAGUGAGGAAUAUUGGUCAAUGGGCGCGAGCCUGAACCAGCCAAGUCGCGUGAGGGAAGACGGUCCUAUGGAUUGUAAACCUCUUUUGUCGGGGAGCAAAAGACGCCACGCGUGGCGUUCCGAGAGUACCCGAAGAAAAAGCAUCGGCUAACUCCGUGCCAGCAGCCGCGGUAAUAAGGAGGAUGCGAGCGUUAUCCGGAUGUAUUGGGGUUAAAGGGUGCGCAGGCGGAAGAUCAAGUCAGCGGUAAAAUUGAGGGGCUCAACCUCUUCGAGCCGUUGAAACUGGUUUUCUUGAGUGAGCGAGAAGUAUGCGGAAUGCGUGGUGUAGCGGUGAAAUGCAUAGAUAUCACGCAGAACUCCGAUUGCGAAGGCAGCAUACCGGCGCUCAACUGACGCUCAUGCACGAAAGUGUGGGUAUCGAACAGGAUUAGAUACCCUAGUAGUC